GAACGCGCCCUUCAAAUCUGCUAACGGUUUCCUUCCUCAGUUUUUUCGCUGAUGGAGUGCGGAGGCGAAAUAGCGGUGUCUGCGGGCUCACUGUCAUUCACAAGUGGCUCCAGUCUGGUUUGGGGGUCUACCCUUUCUUAUCAUGUCCUGCCACCCAAUAAAGCCAUUCACAAGUGGCUCCAGCCUGGUUUGGGGGUCUAGCCUUUCUCAUCCUGUCCUGCCACCCAAUAAAGCCAUUCACAAGUGGCUCCAGCCUGGUUUGGGGGUCUAGCCUUUCUCAUCCUGUCCUGCCACCCAAUAAAGCCAUUCACAAGUGGCUCCAGCCUGGUUUGGGGGUCUAGCCUUUCUCAUCCUGUCCUGCCACCCAAUAAAAAGAGAAAUUACUAAAGGCCUCUGCAACUGCUUUUACCAGAUGCUGUGAGAGAGUUAUGCCCUGUGCCGCGGCUUCUGAUUCAGUACAGCAGUUCAACCAGCCCAGCAAACAGGAAAAGCUCAAGGAGGUGUCUUAACUAUCAGCAUUCCUACCCAAACAGAUCAAGCUACUGUUAUGUCCAACUAAGAAAAACAAUGGUCUGGUAUGAAGGUUAUCUGUGUUUUGAAACAUAAAUAUUCAUUAAAUAAUAAU